UACAUGGUUACGCGGUUACCCC
rnacentral:misc_RNA from 1 species